CAGCAAUUGAUAAAUUUCCUGCUUUACCAGGCUUAGCUCGGGGCAGGAGCUGGUGGCUUAAUAUAGUGGAAAAUGUAUUCAUAUAUACUGUAAUUUUCUUUUCCUGGCUAUUAUUCAUGGCAGCAUAUACACAUGGGUUAGCUCCACCCCUUACAGCCAAUAGGACAGGAAAAUCAACAAGGCUUUAAAAGGAGGCUCCAUUCCUAAGGUCCUCAGUCAGUUUACAAGCUCUACAGUAGAUAGUAUAUGCUACAAUGAAUAGCCAGGAAAAGAAAAUUACGGUAAAUAUGAAUGUAUUUUCCACUUUCUUGGCUAAUCAUGGCAGCAUAUACACAUGGGGCAUACACAAGCUUACAAAGGGAGGGACAGAAACAUAAAUAACAGCCAAACAAUCAGAACAAUUCAACAUAGAUAGAAGAAUGAACUGAGUCAAGUACAUGACGUCCAAAUUGGGCAUCAUUGACUGCUUUAACGAACAGUAUGAAAUGCCUGACAAAUGUGUCUAAAAAGGUUCAAAUGCUAGCUUUACAAAAAGUGUCAGCAGAACCCAUUGCCAUGGAAGUCCACGAUGCUGCAACAGCUUGAGUGGAGAGUGCCCAGAUACCCUCCGGCACAGGUAAAGAAUGGCAUCAAUCUUUGCUUUUAGGUCGGACCUCAGAUGCCAAAUACAAGACAAUCAUAUCCUGUUGAAGAUUAGUGAAUGGGGUUUAUAGGAUCAGCCUGGAGUUCACACAUUCACCUUGCUGCGGUACUAGCCACCAGCACUUUCUGUGCUACAACCAUGGAAGCUCCUGCUAGAGGUUGAAAUUAUGGUUUAGUCAGAGCCUGUGCGACCAGUGGUACGUCACAUAUUGGCUUCAACAGCCUCG